AGAGUUUGAUCCUGGCUCAGGAUGAACGCUGGCGGCGUGCUUAACACAUGCAAGUCGAACGAACCUUCGGGUUAGUGGCGGACGGGUGAGUAAUGCGUGAGAAUCUGCCCUCAGGAGGGGGAUAACGGUUGGAAACGACCGCUAAUACCCCAUAUGCCGCGAGGUGAAAUGAAUUUCGCCUGAGGAUGAGCUCGCGUCUGAUUAGCUAGUUGGUGGGGUAAAGGCCUACCAAGGCAUCGAUCAGUAGCUGGUCUGAGAGGAUGAUCAGCCACACUGGGACUGAGACACGGCCCAGACUCCUACGGGAGGCAGCAGUGGGGAAUUUUCCGCAAUGGGCGAAAGCCUGACGGAGCAACGCCGCGUGAGGGAUGAAGGCCUCUGGGCUGUAAACCUCUUUUAUCAAGGAAGAAGAUCUGACGGUACUUGAUGAAUAAGCCACGGCUAAUUCCGUGCCAGCAGCCGCGGUAAUACGGGAGUGGCAAGCGUUAUCCGGAAUUAUUGGGCGUAAAGCGUCCGCAGGCGGCCCUUCAAGUCUGCUGUUAAAAAGUGGAGCUUAACUCCAUCAUGGCAGUGGAAACUGUUGGGCUUGAGUGUGGUAGGGGCAGAGGGAAUUCCCGGUGUAGCGGUGAAAUGCGUAGAUAUCGGGAAGAACACCAGUGGCGAAGGCGCUCUGCUGGGCCAUCACUGACGCUCAUGGACGAAAGCCAGGGGAGCGAAAGGGAUUAGAUACCCCUGUAGUCCUGGCCGUAAACGAUGAACACUAGGUGUCGGGGGAAUCGACCCCCUCGGUGUCGUAGCCAACGCGUUAAGUGUUCCGCCUGGGGAGUACGCACGCAAGUGUGAAACUCAAAGGAAUUGACGGGGGCCCGCACAAGCGGUGGAGUAUGUGGUUUAAUUCGAUGCAACGCGAAGAACCUUACCAGGGUUUGACAUCCUGCGAAUCUCUUGGAAACGAGAGAGUGCCUUCGGGAACGCAGUGACAGGUGGUGCAUGGCUGUCGUCAGCUCGUGUCGUGAGAUGUUGGGUUAAGUCCCGCAACGAGCGCAACCCACGUCUUUAGUUGCCAGCAUUAAGUUGGGCACUCUAGAGAGACCGCCGGUGAUAAACCGGAGGAAGGUGUGGAUGACGUCAAGUCAUCAUGCCCCUUACAUCCUGGGCUACACACGUACUACAAUGCAAUGGACAAAGGGCAGCAAGUUCGCGAGGACAAGCAAAUCCCAUAAACCGUUGCUCAGUUCAGAUCGUAGGCUGCAACUCGCCUACGUGAAGGAGGAAUCGCUAGUAAUCGCAGGUCAGCAUACUGCGGUGAAUACGUUCCCGGGCCUUGUACACACCGCCCGUCACACCAUGGAAGUUGGCCACGCCCGAAGCCGUUACUCCAACCCUCGGGAGGAGGACGUCGAAGGUGGGGCUGAUGACUGGGGUGAAGUCGUAACAAGGUAUCCGUACCGGAAGGUGCGGAUGGAUCACCUCCUAA
rnacentral:rRNA from 1 species